GACGAACCGUCCUAACGUUGUUCGGAAUCACUGGGCUUAAAGGGCGCGUAGGCGGGCGAUCAAGUCAGGGGUGAAAUCUUUCGGCUUAACCGGAAAUGGCCCCUGAUACUGAUUGUCUUGAGGGAGAUAGGGGCCAUGGGAACUUCUGGUGGAGCGGUGAAAUGCGUUGAUAUCAGAAGGAACGCCGGUGGCGAAAGCGCAUGGCUGGACCUCUUCUGACGCUGAGGCGCGAAAGCUAGGGUAGCGGAACGGGA
rnacentral:rRNA from 1 species